rnacentral:rRNA from 1 species
GUGGGGAAUAUUGCACAAUGGGCGAAAGCCUGAUGCAGCAACGCCGCGUGAGGGAAGAAGUUUUUCGGAAUGUAAACCUCUGUCCCAUGAGACGAAGAAGUGACGGUAUCAUGGGAGGAAGCCAUGGCUAACUACGUGCCAGCAGCCGCGGUAAUACGUAGAUGGCAAGCGUUAUCCGGAAUGACUGGGCGUAAAGGGUGUGUAGGCGGUAUGUCAAGUCAGAUGUGAAAACCCAGGGCUUAACCUUGGGAAUGCAUUUGAAACUGGCAAACUAGAGUGCAGGAGAGGAAAGCGGAAUUCCUAGUGUAGCGGUGAAAUGCGUAGAUAUUAGGAGGAACACCAGUGGCGAAGGCGGCUUUCUGGACUGUAACUGACGCUGAGACACGAAAGCGUGGGGAGCGAACAGGAUUAGAAACCCUUGUAGUCC